GACAGAGAGAUGGUGUUAUACAGCUGGAGCGGUAUGCAGCUGUCAGUCUCUAACAGGUGUUAUGAUGGGGUACAGCUGUCUGUCAGUCUCUAACAGGUGUUAUGAUGGGGUACAGCUGUCAGUCUCUAACAGGUGUUAUGAUGGGGUACAGCUGUCAGUCUCUAACAGGUGUUAUGAUGGGGUACAGCUGUCUGUCAGUCUCUAACAGGUGUUAUGAUGGGGUACAGCUGUCUGUCAGUCUCUAACAGGUGUUAUGAUGGGGUACAGCUGUCUGUCAGACUCUAACAGGUGUUAUGAUGGGGUACAGCUGUCUGUCAGACUCUAACAGGUGUUAUGAUGGGGUACAGCUGUCUGUCAGACUCUAACAGGUGUUAUGAUGGGGGUACAGCUGUCAGUCUCUAACAGGUGUUAUGAUGGGGUACAGCUGUCUGUCAGACUCUAACAGGUGUUAUGAUGGGGUACAGCUGUCUGUCAGACUCUAACAGGUGUUAUGAUGGGGUACAGCUGUCUGUCAGUCUCUAACAGGUGUUAUGAUGGGGUACAGCUGUCAGUCAGUCUCUAACAGGUGUUAUGAUGGGGUACAGCUGUCUGUCAGACUCUAACAGGUGUUAUGAUGGGGGUACAGCUGUCAGUCUCUAACAGGUGUUAUGAUGGGGUACAGCUGUCUGUCAGACUCUAACAGGUGUUAUGAUGGGGUACAGCUGUCUGUCAGACUCUAACAGGUGUUAUGAUGGGGUACAGCUGUCUGUCAGUCUCUAACAGGUGUUAUGAUGGGGUACAGCUGUCUGUCAGACUCUAACAGGUGUUAUGAUGGGGUACAGCUGUCUGUCAGACUCUAACAGGUGUUAUGAUGGGGUACAGCUGUCUGUCAGUCUCUAACAGGUGUUAUGAUGGGGUACAGCUGUCAGUCUCUAACAGGUGUUAUGAUGGUGUACAGCUGUCAGACUCUAACAGGUGUUAUGAUGGGGUACAGCUGUCUGUCAGUCUCUAACAGGUGUUAUGAUGGGGUACAGCUGUCAGUCUCUAACAGGUGUUAUGAUGGGGUACAGCUGUCUGUCAGACUCUAA